GGAAUAUUGCACAAUGGGCGCAAGCCUGAUGCAGCCAUGCCGCGUGUAUGAAGAAGGCCUUCGGGUUGUAAAGUACUUUCAGUGGGGAGGAAGGCGAUGAGGUUAAUAGCCUCGUCGAUUGACGUUACCCGCAGAAGAAGCACCGGCUAACUCCGUGCCAGCAGCCGCGGUAAUACGGAGGGUGCAAGCGUUAAUCGGAAUUACUGGGCGUAAAGCGCACGCAGGCGGUCUGUCAAGUCGGAUGUGAAAUCCCCGGGCUCAACCUGGGAACUGCAUUCGAAACUGGCAGGCUAGAGUCUUGUAGAGGGGGGUAGAAUUCCAGGUGUAGCGGUGAAAUGCGUAGAGAUCUGGAGGAAUACCGGUGGCGAAGGCGGCCCCCUGGACAAAGACUGACGCUCAGGUGCGAAAGCGUGGGGAGCAAACAGGAUUAGAUACCCUUG
rnacentral:rRNA from 1 species